rnacentral:rRNA from 1 species
CAUGUAGGCGGCCUAUUAAGUCGGGCGUGAAAAUGCGGGGCUCAACCCCGUAUGGCGCCCGAUACUGGUGGGCUUGAGUGCAGGAGAGGAAAGGGGAAUUCCCAGUGUAGCGGUGAAAUGCGUAGAUAUUGGGAGGAACACCAGUGGCGAAGGCGCCUUCUGGACUGUGUCUGACGCUGAGAUGCGAAAGCCAGGGGAGCGAACG